rnacentral:lncRNA from 1 species
GGGCACUUUCUUAAUUACUCUCCCAGCCUCCUUUGCUGCUUGGUGUGACCAUGUGACAGUUAUGGCCAAUGAAACAGAAGGAAAUGUCUGCUGAUGGGCUUCUGGAAAAAUCUUAUUUUUUCAAUGGAUGUUAGAGAACUUGCUUCUGCUGCUUCUUUCCAUCCUCUUUGGGUUAUUGGAGCAAAGGUAUGAUGUAUGUAUUGUUGUGUCCAUGUUGGUCAACAAAAAUAAAGAUAUCAGAACAAAAAACAACAGGAAUAGUGAAUGGAAGAUUAAAGGAAAAAAAAAAAAACAGAUUACAGAUGCCUAUGAGCCAUUGCACCAAGAAUGAAAUUGCCUAUCUUUAGCUUGGGCAUAUGAAAUGGCAAAAGAUCAUUUUUCUUUAUUUCCUGGGGGUUGGUUAUUCUGUUACUUGCCCCUGACCUCAUCCCAACUGAUGCACCAAUGUUAGCACACCCUGAAACAACGUAGCCCUUAUUUUUACCUAUUCCUAUUUGAAUGGUCACUGUUUGGCUUCAUUUUCUUUACUCACAGGUACUGUGAAACAAUGAAACAGGGAGGUUAAAAGCAGAAGUCUUGGAACCAGAUGAUCCAGCUCUAGAACUUUCUAGAAAAUUUAGAAAUUUCUUCUAGCCCUUGAGAAAAUUUACAAAUGGAAGACUCACUCCUCAACAAUGAAAUGAGCUAAUUUAAAGUGGGGAUUAUAAUGAUGCCUACUUCCUUGGCCUACAGUGAUUAUAAAAAGAAGUAAGGUAGAUAAAGGGUCUAGCAAUGGCUUUGAAGUCUGGUUAUUACUGGUAUUUCUUCUAAUGAUGGGUGCAUAUGUUUAGUCACAGAGGUCUUACUCUCUGUUGCCCAAUCAGUGUCCAUGUUUUUUUUUUUUUCCUACUUGAUUUUUCUCCCAAUUCUUGAAACGUCAUGCUUCUAUAUCUCCCUUUCUCUUCCACAGUAGAAUCCAUGAAAUCAAGCAUUCAAUCCUAAGGGAAGUGCUAAGAGCAAAAUAAGGAAGUGUGGACCAUGGCUCUUUGCUAAAGGAAGCCUAUUGCUUAGUCUAGACAAUAAGUCUACCAGGAGCCAUACUGAAUAACAGCGUAGGACAAGAACCACCUUCAGGCAACAUGUAUCACAUUUCUCCCUGGAUCCCACCUGCAAGACUGGAGCCACCUGGGUAGGGAGGCAGAUGGAUUGGAGAAGGCUGCUAAGAGACCUGACCAGAUGGGGUCUUGAGGGGGUGUCAUUGUCAAGGGCACAGAGCUGGAACCUCAAGGAGACAGUGGUGGCUCCACCACCAGGCAAACCAACCCAUCAAGGAGAGCCUCCAAGGGCCUCCCUGGAGAGGACACUCUGGAAGAGUUGACUGGAGAGGGAAAUUACCUCCCCAAUGAGCAGUCAGAAUAGGGAUUUCUCAUCCUUCUGUUACAUCAAACAUCUGACUAAUGUUGUUGUUGGUGGUGGGGAGAUUCUCCAAGAUAAAAGUAAAUAGGGGUUUGGGGGUGUAGCUCAGUGGUACAGUACUCACCUAGCAUGUGUGAAGCACUGAGUUUGAUCCUUAACACCACAUAAAAAUAAAUAAAUAAAAUAAAGGUAUUGUGUCCACCUAUAACUAAAUAAAUACAGCCUGAGCUGUGACUUCCCCUUGUCUAUCCAGAUCGCGGAUGCUGCCUAUCCCUGGUACAUGGUUAACACUCACUGGACAAUGAUAUCUAGGGUCAGCAGCAUGGGGAGUAGUGCAGUAGAGAUGGAUUUGGAUCUCUUUGGAACUCUCCAUGAGUUGAGGGAGAGGGAGCUGCCUUGGGUUCUUCAUUUUCUCUGGUAUCAGCCUUGGAUAUGCUGACACUGAUAGUCAAAAGUGCAUGAUGAAUCCAACGGCCUCAGAGUAACAGGCAGCAGGCACCCUUGGGUUUGGCUGGUCAACAUUUUAUAGGCCAGUGUUGUUUUCUGAGCACAAGAAGUAAGGUUUGCUGGCCUCAUGUAGCCUUUGCC